UACGUAGGGUGCAAGCGUUAAUCGGAAUUACUGGGCGUAAAGCGUGCGCAGGCGGUUUCGUAAGUCUGUCGUGAAAUCCCCGGGCUCAACCUGGGAAUUGCGAUGGAGACUGCAAGGCUAGAAUCUGGCAGAGGGGGGUAGAAUUCCACGUGUAGCAGUGAAAUGCGUAGAUAUGUGGAGGAACACCGAUGGCGAAGGCAGCCCCCUGGGUCAAACUGACGCUCAU
rnacentral:rRNA from 1 species